AUUGAACGCUGGCGGCAGGCCUAACACAUGCAAGUCGAGCGAGCGGCGGACGGGUGAGUAAUGUCUGGGAAACUGCCUGAUGGAGGGGGAUAACUACUGGAAACGGUAGCUAAUACCGCAUACCAUCAGAUGUGCCCAGGUGGGAUUAGCUAGUAGGUGGGGUAACGGCUCACCGAGGCGACGAUGCCUACCUGGCCUGAGAGGAUGACCGGCCACCCUGGGACUGAGACACGUCCCAGACUCCUACGGGAGGCAGCAGUGGGGAAUCUUGCACAAUGGGCGCAAGCCUGAUGCAGCCAUGCCGCGUGUAUGAAGAAGGCCUUCGGGUUGUAAAGUACUUUCAGCGGGGAGGCGUUACCCGCAGAAGAAGCACCGGCUAACUCCGUGCCAGCAGCCGCGGUAAUAC
rnacentral:rRNA from 1 species